rnacentral:lncRNA from 1 species
CUAAAGGAAAGUGUUCAAUUUAGGGUUUAAAACCCUAAUGCUGACUGGAUGGAAAAGAGUUCAGUUUAGGGUUUAAAACCCUAAUGCUGACUGGAUGGAAAAGAGUUCAGUUUAGGGUUUAAAACCCUAAUGCUGACUCUGACUACAGGAAAAAGUUCAGUUUAGGGUUUAAAACCCUAAUGCUGACUGAAUGGAAAAGAGUCCAGUUUAGGGUUUAAAACCCUAAUGCUGACUAAAGGAAAAAGUUCAGUUUAGGGUUUAAAACCCUAAUGCUGACUAAAGGAAAGAGUUCAGUUUAGGGUUUAAAACCCUAAUGAUGACAGAAUGGAAAAAGUUCAGUUUAGGGUUUAAAACCUUAAUGCUGACUAAAGGAAAGAAUUC